UACGUAGGGACCAAGCGUUGUUCGGAUUUACUGGGCGUAAAGGGCGCGUAGGCGGCAAUUCAAGUCAUCUGUAAAAUCUCCGGGCUUAACUCGGAACGGUCAGAUGAUACUGCUUUGCUAGAGUGCGGAAGGGGCAAUCGGAAUUCUCGGUGUAGCGGUGAAAUGCGUAGAUAUCGAGAGGAACACCAGAGGUGAAGACGGGUUGCUGGGCCGACACUGACGCUGACAGCGCGAAAGCCAGGGGAGCAAACGGG
rnacentral:rRNA from 1 species